UCCUGGCUUAGAACGAACGCUGGUGGCGUGUCUUAUACAUGCAAGUCGAGCGAGGCAGCAAUGCCGAGCGGCGAACGGGUGAGUAACGCGUAAGCAAUCUGCCCCAUAUCAGGAAAUACCCGUGCCAACGCGCGGUUAAUGUCCAGGAGAGUGGCCUUCCGCAUGGAAGGUUGACUAGAGAUUUAUCGGUAUGGGAUGAGCUUGCGUCCGAUUAGCUAGUUGGCGGGGCAACGGCCCACCAAGGCGACGAUCGGUAGCCGGCCUGAGAGGGUGAUCGGCCACAUUGGGACUGAGAUACGGCCCAGACUCCCACGGGAGGCAGCAGUAGGGAAUAUUGCACAAUGGGGGAAACCCUGAUGCAGCAACGCCACGUGUGGGAAGAAGCAUUUCGGUGUGUAAACCACUGUCAUGAGGGAAUAAGGCCCGCCUUCGGACGGGAUUGAAUGUACCUUGAGAGGAAGCACCGGCAAACUUCGUGCCAGCCGCGGC
rnacentral:rRNA from 1 species